rnacentral:misc_RNA from 1 species
UAACGAGUGUUUAUGGCACUCUAAAAAAUCCAUACCCACCUUGUGUGCAUCGUUAAAGAGUCCUUUUUGUCUCUCUUUUAGAGAGGCAUGGGAUUUCUUUUUAAUUAAUCUAUUUUAAACCAGUUUGUCUGAAGCAAUGUAUCAUGAAUAACAUAAUUCAAAAUA